rnacentral:rRNA from 1 species
GACGAACGCUGGCGGCGUGCUUAACACAUGCAAGUCGAACGGGAUUUAGUAGACAGAAGCCUCGGCUAAAGAUUACUAAUGAGAGUGGCGAACGGGUGAGUAACGCGUGAGCAACCUGCCUAUGACAGUGGGAUAGCCUCGGGAAACCGGGAUUAAUACCGCAUAAAAUCGUAGAAACACAUGUUUCAACGGUCAAAGAUUUAUCGGUCAUAGAUGGGCUCGCGUCUGAUUAGCUAGUUGGUGAGAUAACAGCCCACCAAGGCGACGAUCAGUAGCCGGUCUGAGAGGAUGAACGGCCACAGUGGAACUGAGACACGGUCCAAACUCCUACGGGAGGCAGCAGUGGGGAAUAUUGCACAAUGGGGGAAACCCUGAUGCAGCGACGCCGCGUGAACGAAGAAGGUAUUCGUAUCGUAAAGUUCUGUCCUAUGGGAAGAUAAUGACAGUACCAUAGAAGAAAGCGCCGGCUAAAUACGUG